rnacentral:rRNA from 1 species
UACGAAGGGGGCUAGCGUUGCUCGGAAUCACUGGGCGUAAAGCGCACGUAGGCGGACUCUUAAGUCAGGGGUGAAAUCCUGGAGCUCAACUCCAGAACUGCCCUUGAUACUGGCGGUCUCGAGUCCGGGAGAGGUGAGUGGAACUGCGAGUGUAGAGGUGAAAUUCGUAGAUAUUCGCAAGAACACCAGUGGCGAAGGCGGCUCACUGGCCCGGUACUGACGCUGAGGUGCGAAAGCCAGGGGAGCAAACGGG